AUUGAACGCUGGCGGCAGGCCUAACACAUGCAAGUCGAGCGAGCGGCGGACGGGUGAGUAAUGUAUGGGGACUGCCCGAUAGAGGGGGAUAACUACUGGAAACGGUAGCUAAUACCGCAUACUAUCGGAUAACCCAUAUGGGAUUAGCUAGUAGGUGGGGUAAAGGCUCACCUAGGCGACGCUCCCUAGCUGGUCUGAGAGGAUGAUCAGCCAAACUGGGAAUGAGACAAGGCCCAGAAUCCAAGGGAGGCAGGAGUGGGGAAUAAUGGACAAUGGGCGCAAGCCUGAAGCAGCCAUGCCGGGGGUAUGAAGAAGGCCUUAGGGUUGUAAAGGUAUUUCAACGGGGAGGCGUUACCCGCAGAAGAAGCAACGGGUAACUCCGGGCCAACAGGCGCGGUAAUAC
rnacentral:rRNA from 1 species